ensembl:lncRNA
GGGAGAGAGUCCUUGAUGCUGGAACUGCAGACCACCGCUCCUCUGUUGCCCGUCUCUCCAACUAAGCACUCCGCAGGUGAUACAAAGGAAGAACUGCCGUCAUGAAAGAGGAUUCUGACCAGGGACAGAAUCUGACUACCCCUGCAUGGAAUGCCUUCUGGAAAGGUCGGGUUUCUGCCUUUCCCAAGUACAUCUGGGCUUGGACAUGGACUUGCUUGGCCAACAGGACAGGAACAAAUGUACUAUAAGGAGAGACUUGAAAAAUGCUUGUACAUUAGGCUUGCUGUCCUGCUGCACUUGGAACAACAUGGACGAGCCUGAGCUCCCCUGCUGGAUGGAGAGAGACACAGGGCCAUGGACACAUCACUCCAGCAAACAUAUGCCACCCACCAGAGCUGUGAAGGAAGCCACCCUAGACCAUACAGCCCCAGCUGCCCCACCAACUACCAUUAGCUGCCUGAGCAAGCCGGCACACCACAGUUGGGCAGACUCAGCUUGGAGAUCCCCACUGGCAAGCUUGUGUUGAAUUCUUUCUAACCGACAGAAUUGUGCAAAAUAAUAAAUAUUU